rnacentral:lncRNA from 1 species
UCCAACAGGGAAAGCUAUGUUCAAAAACCCAGCAGGCGGACGUGCACACGACAAAAACACGCACGCUGACAUAAAGCAAGUACACUUGGAACAUUGGAAAAAUAAUGAGCAAAUAAAAAAACACAGUGGGAUACCCCCUUGGUCAGCGGCAAAACCACCACGAUGGGAGCUUUAACUGGUUUAUGGUGCAUCUUACCUCACACUUACCCCCAAAGUCACAGGUCAGUAUGAUAAAAAGUUAUUCCCACAAGGUGAAGCCCUAACAUACGCAAAAGCAACAGAAGGCAUUUUAUGUAAAACACAAAAAAUGCUCUUAUAUAUUUUUAUAAAAUGUAAUCGACGUUAAGAACAUAGAACGCAUUUACUCAGUGCCUUUGCAGAAGAAAGCGCAACAAGGGAAACACGAGCAACAGGGAACAGAACUUCUUCAGAGGCUGAUCAUACAUUUCUGACAAUACCUUCUGAAAUGAUCAGGUCUAUAACGUCAAGCAGGUCAAGUAAUGGCGAGGCUGUCUCACAUACAGUAGAACCAAAUUUAGAUAGUUCUUACUCAUUGGAUAUGACUUUAGAGAGAGACGACAACGAAACAUACACUGAUUUAUCAAGAUCCUACGGCGAUGAUAAAUGUGCUAUCUGCUUGGGAAGUUGUAGAAACCCAACAUUCUUGCUAUGUAUGCACAGGUUCUGUGAAGAGCCAUGUCUACAGAAUCUUCU